rnacentral:rRNA from 1 species
GAUGAACGCUGGCGGCGUGCCUAAUACAUGCAAGUCGAGCGAACAGACGAGGAGCUUGCUCCUCUGACGUUAGCGGCGGACGGGUGAGUAACACGUGGAUAACCUACCUAUAAGACUGGGAUAACUUCGGGAAACCGGAGCUAAUACCGGAUAACAUGUUGAACCGCAUGGUUCAACAGUGAAAGACGGUCUUGCUGUCACUUAUAGAUGGAUCCGCGCCGCAUUAGCUAGUUGGUUAGGUAACGGCUUACCAAGGCAACGAUGCGUAGCCGACCUGAGAGGGUGAUCGGCCACACUGGAACUGAGACACGGUCCAGACUCCUACGGGAGGCAGCAGUAGGGAAUCUUCCGCAAUGGGCGAAAUCCUGACGGAGCAACGCCGCGUGAGUGAAGAAGGUCUUCGGAUCGUAAAACUCUGUUAUUAGGGAAGAACAAAUGUGUAAGUAACUAUGCACGUCUUGACGGUACCUAAUCAGAAAGCCACGGCUAACUACGUG